CUCACAAAGUGGUUGUUGUAUGCUUCUGCUACUGUUCAUAUCACAGCCAGCUUUGAUGAGUG
rnacentral:pre_miRNA from 1 species